AGAUCAGCGUACGAGUUUAGUGUUCAUAGGAUUAGCAGUUAACUCUUUCACACAAGUUACAAAUUUCGGGUAUACAUUUCCGAGCUAAGGAUGAAAUCGUCAACUGUUUUUGUUUUCUUUCUUGUUUUUGUCUUAAAUAUUUCCUAUCUUGUGUCAGCUCAGAGCAAUGGAUGGAGAUGCCCUUUUGAUUACAGCUGCGGAAAAAGAGAGAUGAGCGACAAAACUGCCCUACCACACAGUCGUUUUGGCAACCGUCUUCGUUCUCUGAGAAACUUCCGUCGGAUGGCUGAAGAAAGAAAAGCAAGGGUUGAUGCGAGAGGACUGAACAGAGCCGCCAUCUUGAAGGCUUAUGGGAACGGCCAGUGAUCAACAAGAGUACAAAAGAAUUAAAUAAAGUUCAAAAGGAAUAAAUUUUUUAGAUCUAAUAUGAAUGUAAUUUAAGUAAUUGAGCGAGCAAUAAAUUUUUGUCUUUAUGGCGUUGAA